ensembl:rRNA 5S_rRNA 5S ribosomal RNA
GUCUACGGCCAUACCACCCUGAACGCGCCCGAUCUCGUCUGAUCUCGGAAGCUAAGCAGGGUCGGGCCUGGUUAGUACUUGGAUGGGAGAAUAGGAGUGUUGCUUGAUGUUGGGGAAU